CCAAUAAGCCUCCUUCUAGUUAUAUUUUCAUCUUUUAACUCCUCCCUUCCCUUAAUCUUUAUACUAACUAUCUAAAUCCUAUAUAAUAUAAACUCUAUGAUCAAACUAGAUUAACUUCCAAAUAAUUUUCCUUAUUUCAAUUCAUUUUAAAUUAACAUACUAACUAUUCUAACUCACAUUAAGACUUAUAAACAUAUUACAUGUUUUCACUAAUUUUUACAUACUGUAAGUAAUUACA
rnacentral:lncRNA from 1 species